rnacentral:rRNA from 1 species
GAUGAACGCUAGCUACAGGCUUAACACAUGCAAGUCGAGGGGCAGCAUGGUCUUAUCUUGCUAAGGCCGAUGGCGACCGGCGCACGGGUGAGUAACACGUAUCCAACCUGCCGUCUACUCUUGGACAGCCUUCUGAAAGGAAGAUUAAUACAAGAUGGCAUCAUGAGUCCGCAUGUUCACAUGAUUAAAGGUAUUCCGGUAGACGAUGGGGAUGCGUUCCAUUAGAUAGUAGGCGGGGUAACGGCCCACCUAGUCUUCGAUGGAUAGGGGUUCUGAGAGGAAGGUCCCCCACAUUGGAACUGAGACACGGUCCAAACUCCUACGGGAGGCAGCAGUGAGGAAUAUUGGUCAAUGGGCGAGAGCCUGAACCAGCCAAGUAGCGUGAAGGAUGACUGCCCUAUGGGUUGUAAACUUCUUUUAUAAAGGAAUAAAGUCGGGUAUGGAUACCCGUUUGCAUGUACUUUAUGAAUAAGGAUCGGCUAACUCCGUGCCAGCAGCCGCGGUAAUACGGAGGAUCCGAGCGUUAUCCGGAUUUAUUGGGUUUAAAGGGAGCGUAGAUGGAUGUUUAAGUCAGUUGUGAAAGUUUGCGGCUCAACCGUAAAAUUGCAGUUGAUACUGGAUAUCUUGAGUGCAGUUGAGGCAGGCGGAAUUCGUGGUGUAGCGGUGAAAUGCUUAGAUAUCACGAAGAACUCCGAUUGCGAAGGCAGCCUGCUAAGCUGCAACUGACAUUGAGGCUCGAAAGUGUGGGUAUCAAACAGGAUUAGAUACCCUGGUAGUCCACACGGUAAACGAUGAAUACUCGCUGUUUGCGAUAUACGGCAAGCGGCCAAGCGAAAGCGUUAAGUAUUCCACCUGGGGAGUACGCCGGCAACGGUGAAACUCAAAGGAAUUGACGGGGGCCCGCACAAGCGGAGGAACAUGUGGUUUAAUUCGAUGAUACGCGAGGAACCUUACCCGGGCUUAAAUUGCAGAUGAAUUACGGUGAAAGCCGUAAGCCGCAAGGCAUCUGUGAAGGUGCUGCAUGGUUGUCGUCAGCUCGUGCCGUGAGGUGUCGGCUUAAGUGCCAUAACGAGCGCAACCCUUGUUGUCAGUUACUAACAGGUUCCGCUGAGGACUCUGACAAGACUGCCAUCGUAAGAUGUGAGGAAGGUGGGGAUGACGUCAAAUCAGCACGGCCCUUACGUCCGGGGCUACACACGUGUUACAAUGGGGGGUACAGAGGGCCGCUACCACGCGAGUGGAUGCCAAUCCCCAAAACCUCUCUCAGUUCGGACUGGAGUCUGCAACCCGACUCCACGAAGCUGGAUUCGCUAGUAAUCGCGCAUCAGCCACGGCGCGGUGAAUACGUUCCCGGGCCUUGUACA